GACGACGCUGGCGGCGUGCCUAAUACAUGCAAGUCGAACGAGUUGCGAACGGGUGAGUAACGCGUGGUAACCUGCCUAAUAGCGGGGGAUAACUAUGGGAAACGAUAGCUAAUACCGCAUACUGUGAGAUGGACCUGCGUUGUAUUAGCUAGUUGGUGAGGUAAAGGCUCACCUAGGCGGCGAUCCCUAGCUGGUCUGAGAGGAUGACCAGCCACACUGGAACUGAGACACGGUCCAGAUGCGUACGAGAGGCAGCAGUGGGGAAUAUUGCACAAUGGGCGCAAGCCUGAUGCAGCCAUGCCGCGUGUAUGAAGAAGGCCUUCGGGUUGUAAAGUACUUUCAGCGGGGAUGCGUUACCCGCAGAAGAAGCACCGGCUAACUCCGUGCCAGCAGCCGCGGUAAUAC
rnacentral:rRNA from 1 species